UCUAUACGCGGUGACCACAAAGGACUCGUAAUUAACUGACAGGAUUAUCCACUAUUUGGCCGGCGUCUGUAGCAAAAUAAUGACCAAUGAACCCCUACCCUCCUAUCAAUUAAUAAGAGAGAUAUAUGAGAGAAUAAUAGAUGUGUGUCAGAACCGAGAUAUCAUAUCUCUCCCAAAGAUUUGAUUUUCGAGAAUUCUUUGGGAAUAGUUGUUCUAUUAAUGAGAAUGGUGCAAAAUGGAAGGGUCGUAUUUUUUGCUUUCUAUAUCAACUGCUUUUUAUUUUUUUCUCAGUGUUCGCAAUUUUUUUUCCCGUCUCUCUCCGAGUUUCCUUUUUUUUUUCUCCGAUAUUGAUAUCGAUUCUUCGAUUGAGUUGCGGCUUGUUACGAUUAGUUCGUCCAAAUCUUGACCUUCCUCAUCGUCUAAUCGCUACUGGUGAAGAACCCCUUGGAGAGAGGACCAAUGUGUACAACAAGAUGAAAACUCUUAGAGGCAUCAUCGACUCGUUUGAGGAAUCCAAAAUCGAGUUUAUCAAAGAUACACCUCUCGGGGGUUUAUAGGAUUUACUAAACAAACCUGCUUGGUCCGCCAGUUUCGGUCUUUUUCUGAUUGGUCGUCAGUUGGACAUCGCAAAAGCAAACGAGAUCUAGGUGGUUUAUGCUGGAACGCCUGUUCGAUUCUCUUCUGCGUGAGAAUUUCAGAAAUUUAUGUCUUAUCGCUCUAACGUUUUUAUUAUCCUUCAAUGCAAUUUUAUUUGAUCUCUCUCGUCCUAAACAAACACUAAGUAAUAAAUGUGUUACCUCUA